rnacentral:rRNA from 1 species
AUUGAACGCUGGCGGCAGGCCUAACACAUGCAAGUCGAACGGUAACAGGAAGCAGCUUGCUGCUUCGCUGACGAGUGGCGGACGGGUGAGUAAUGUCUGGGAAACUGCCUGAUGGAGGGGGAUAACUACUGGAAACGGUAGCUAAUACCGCAUAACGUCGCAAGACCAAAGAGGGGGAACUUAGGGCCUCUUGCCAUCGGAUGUGCCCAGAUGGGAGUAGCUAGUAGGUGGGGUAACGGCUCACCUAGGCGACGAUCCCUAGCUGGUCUGAGAGGAUGACCGGCCACACGGGAACUGAGACACGGUCCAGACUCCUACGGGAGGCAGCAGUGGGGAAUAGUGCACAAUGGGCGCAAGCCUGAUGCAGCCAUGCCGCGUGUAUGAAGAAGGCCUUCGGGUUGUAAAGUACUUUCAGCGGGGAGGAAGGGAGUAAAGUUCAUACCUUUGCUCAUUGACGUUACCCGCAGAAGAAGCACCGGCUAACUCCGUG